GUUUGAUCCUGGCUCAGAAUGAACGCUGGCGGCGUGCCUAACACAUGCAAGUCGCACGAGAAAGUCUGCCUUCGGGCGGGCGAGUAAAGUGGCGCACGGGUGAGUAACGCGUAGGUAAUCUACCCCCGGAACCGGGAUAACAGUGCGAAAGUGCUGCUAAUACCGGAUACGAUCUUUUGGCGGGAGCUGAAAGGUGAAAGUCGGCCUCUCGAAGAAGCCGGUGCUCGGGGAUGAGCCUGCGUCCUAUCAGCUAGUUGGCAGGGUAACGGCCUACCAAGGCGACGACGGGUAGCUGGUCUGAGAGGAUGAUCAGCCACACUGGCACUGAAACACGGGCCAGACUCCUACGGGAGGCAGCAGUGAGGAAUUUUGCGCAAUGGGAGCAAUCCUGACGCAGCAACGCCGCGUGGGUGAUGAAGGCCU
rnacentral:rRNA from 1 species